UACGAAGGGGGCUAGCGUUGUUCGGAAUUACUGGGCGUAAAGCGCGCGCAGGCGGUCUUCCAAGUCAGUGGUGAAAGCCUGGAGCUCAACUCCAGAACUGCCUUUGAUACUGAGGAUCUUGAGUUCGGGAGAGGUGAGUGGAACUGCGAGUGUAGAGGUGAAAUUCGUAGAUAUUCGCAAGAACACCAGUGGCGAAGGCGGCUCACUGGCCCGAUACUGACGCUGAGGCACGAAAGCGUGGGGAGCAAACAGG
rnacentral:rRNA from 1 species